rnacentral:siRNA from 1 species
AGAGGAUGAGAUAGACAAAUCCA